CGUGUGGUGGUGGGAAGGGGAAAUGGAAAAAGAAAAGGCCUUCUCUACUUAGAUGCUCAAAUGCUGCAAUGUCAGGCAGAAGGCCACAUUCCCAGUUGGCAGUGUGUGAAGGAGUUUGAACGCUUUCACAAACACUUGGUUUGCUGUUGGCCCUAGUUUAUCUAAGGGUCCCUUCUUGGAAGUGAGGCAGAGAUUGAAUUCAGUGGCAGUUGAAAACCAAGACUUAAUCCUAAGAAAGGGCACAUAGCCCCUGGCACAUUGCACACACCAUCACAUGCUGUCUUGUUGAUUUUUACCGGGUGUGUGUGUGUGUUUUCACAGGAAAAGGUUACUUACUGGCUAAUCCGUUCAAGGCUCCAAAACUGCACCAGCUCAGCCAACACAAUUUGAUUGGAAGGUUGUGCCUUUAUAAGAAAGAGAAGCUGGAUCCAGGUGAACCGUCAGUUUGUGACAUCCCUCCAAGAGUCUUGAGAAUCUUCCUUUCCUCUUCAGUGAUCAUUAUGAAAUUCUGGGUCCUCCUUUUGGUUGUUUGGGUUGCUUUUGCCAUGGUGUCCGCACAACCAUAUGAAGGUGAACAAGGGACCGAUCCUAUACCUGCAGAGCAUGAUCCUCGCCAUAGCUCUGUGAAUCAAGACCGUAUUCUAUGCAGUCUCUUAGGAAUUUGUGGACUAUAGUAGGAUUUGGAUGUCAACAAUGACAGAUUUGGUUGCUGAAGGAUGAUACCAAUAAAGUAGAUAUUUUAGU